UACGGAGGGGGGCUAGCGUUGUUCGGAAUUAUUGGGCGUAAAGCGCUUGUAGGCGGCACGUCAAGUCGCGUGUGAAAUCCCCAGGCUUAACCUGGGAAGUGCGCGCGAAACUGACGAGCUUGAGUGCCGGAGAGGGUCGCGGAAUUCCCGGUGUAGAGGUGAAAUUCGUAGAUAUCGGGAGGAACACCAGUGGCGAAGGCGGCGACCUGGACGGACACUGACGCUGAGACGCGAAAGCGUGGGGAGCAACAGGAUUAAGAAACCCCGGUGAGUCCCAGAACCGAACGUAGC
rnacentral:rRNA from 1 species